AGCGAACGCUGGCGGCAGGCCUAACACAUGCAAGUCGAACGAACUCUUCGGAGUUAGUGGCGGACGGGUGAGUAACACGUGGGAACGUGCCUUUUGGUUCGGAAUAACUCAGGGAAACUUGUGCUAAUACCGAAUGUGCCCUUCGGGGGAAAGAUUUAUCGCCAUUAGAGCGGCCCGCGUCUGAUUAGCUAGUUGGUUAGGUAACGGCUCACCAAGGCGGCGAUCAGUAGCUGGUCUGAGAGGAUGACCAGCCACACUGGGACUGAGACACGGCCCAGACUCCUACGGGAGGCAGCAGUGGGGAAUCUUGCGCAAUGGGCGAAAGCAUGACGCAGCCAUGCCGCGUGAAUGAUGAAGGUCUUAGGAUUGUAAAAUUCUUUCAACGGGGACGAUAAUGACGGUACCCGGAGAAGAAGCCCCGGCUAACUUCGUG
rnacentral:rRNA from 1 species